UGUCCUCAGGUAGUUCCUUCUGAAGAGCCAUGCCCCAAACUGGAAUGCUUAACAACUGAACAAGUAGCCGGCGUCACAGGUCUAGUUCUGAUGGAGUUGGUGAUCAACCUGUGUCUGGGCUGUGCCACCUCCUGAUGCUGGUAGAGACUCACAUGAUUUCAUGUUCCUCUCUACAAAUAUUCCCUGCAUCUAGAAAACAAGUGUGUCAGAGAGGAAGGUUCUUGUGUAAAAGUAAGCAAGUAGUGUCAUCUUUCACCAGACAUACUCGUUUCCUGUCUGGAGGAAAUUUUUCAUAUAGAGGAGCACUCCGUCAUGUGAACCUGUACUUGUACUCUGAAGGAGCACAGGCCAGGUACAGGUUAACCGCCUCAGGAGGCGAAAGCCUGGUUGAGAGCCAAACUACAUCUUAUAUCGCAGCCACGUGUAACCUUAGCCUACCUCUUAACAUUAGGCAAUUCACACAAUUGUUAUUCAAGUGGGACAAGCGUCCUACCCUUGUUUGGGAGUUGUGUGUGCUCCCAUUUUGCGAUUGUGUGAGAGGGAAAAAGCAAGGUUGGAGCAGGAGGAAGAGGUCGCCUGGAAGAGAGGGCAUUUCCUCCUUCGGUAAAGUGCUGUGUACGAGAGCUGGAUAGGAUGGCGCCCUCCGACCCAGCCCUCAUCACUAGUCUCAUCACUUCCUUCCCUUCCUACGUUGCACCCACGGGGGUGCACAUGAUAACAAAACGAGGGUGUGCACACAGCCCCCAAACAUGGUAAGAUGCCUGUUGUACCCUAUUAAUAAUUGUGUGUACCAGCCUAUUGUCUUCUCUACUUCAAUGCACCCACCUUGUAACAGAGAACAAUUUGCAACAUGCCAUUUAUUUUAUUUUAUUUAUUUAAAAAAUCAUAUGCCACUCUUCUGCAACCAAAACAGGGGCACCUAGAGUGGACAACAAUCACUUCAGUAUAAUAAAACCAGAAUGAAAACGUCCACGAACAAAAAAAGCAGCCCAUUCAAUAGCAAACAGCACUGUAGAAUAUAAGUGCAACGCCAAGAUUAAAAUGCCUAAAACAAACUAUUCUUUAAGCACCGGCAGAAUCCAGGAAAGGAGUUUGCUAAUCUUACCUCCUGUGGCAGGGAGUUCCACAUGGUGGUGCUAUUGUUACAUGUGAUUACACUGAAAUGUUGAGUUCAAUUUUGAGGCCGUCUCCUCUGACACUUCCCAUAUGGCAGAGACCAGUACAAAUGUGUGGCUGAACCUCCCUGCUCGAAAGAUGAUAAACAUAGCAUCCCAGAUCAGUCAGAAUGUCCCAAAACAUUCUGAUGUAUCCCUAGGCGUCCAUGGGCUUUAUUCCCAUAACAUCAUCAGCCCUAUUCAGACUUUUAUGUUGUACCUGCGUUCAGAUGUCUCUACACUCACACAAGUUUUUGUAUGAAUAACUGCACCAGUAUUCAUUCUAAAAGUGAACCUGGGCUCAGGCCUCUCAAAUGCACGGAAGAGAUGAGAAGUGUACUGCUGUGCCUGCAUUCAGCAUAACAUGUGAUUUACUGUACUUGUGUAUACUGUACUCAUACAAAUGUUGAACAUAGCAUGUGAAUAGAGCUAUCAUAUCAUUAUUUUAAUGUUUUGAAAACGGAGCAUUGGUGUUCACUUACCGUGAAGGCUCCUUCUGGUUGAUGUUGCCAGGGACACCUCUGGGUUAUCCUUUCCCACUAGCUCCAAGGCAGGACAGAUUCGAUUGGUUGUAGAAAUUUCAGCCACGCCUCCUUGGUGCUAGGAGGAUAACCCCUCCCAGUUCUUGCUGUCCGAGAGAAAUACUGGUACACACCAAAGACGGACUGGACAAUAAAUAAACAUGUGAAAAACAACCAGACUGGAGCAGCACACAGGGUUCUUGGGCUAGAGGCAAAGAGCGGAUCGGUAUACCCUGCGAACCCCGGAGGGAGGCCUGAGAAGGGACUCUCCACGGGAGGAGGCCAGGAGCGCCAAACUGGGUGGGUCGAGGUGUCCCUGGCAACAUCAACCAGAAGGAGCCUUCACGGUAAGUGAACACCAAUGCUCCGUUCUCGGUUGAACUGUUGCCAGGGACACCUCUGGGACAUACCACAGCUUGUCCAACGCAGAGGGCGGGUGCGCUCCGGCCUACUCCCGAGGGAGAACCUGCUGAAGCACCCUUCUUCCAAAGGACGCCUGAAUAUCGGCGUAGGAUUCGAUCUUGUAGUGCUUAGUAAACGUAGAGGGAUUGGCCCAAGUGGCGGCUCUGCAAAUGUCCUGGAUUGGGGCAUUAGUGAAAAGGCGGCUGAGGUGGCGGCCGCCCUGGUAGAGUGCGCCGAGAUGCCUGAAGGCUGGGGUAAGCGAAGUGUCUCAUACGCCAGCGAGAUACAUGCCCUUAUCCAUCGUGCGAUAGUAGGUGCUGAUACAGGCGAGCCCAUUGAUCUCGGGUGGAAGGAGACGAACAUUUGGUCCGUAUUUCUGAAUGAGGCGGUGCGGGCGAUAUAUUUCUUGAGGCAGCGCCGGACAUCCAGGUUAUGCCAGAGUUUUUCCUUCUCGUGGACCGGGCGCGGGCAAAAAGAAGGGAGGAAAACAUCUUGAGACUGAUGGAAAAUUGGGGCAAAAUGAAGACAGCACCUGCAGCACCGAGAAGAGCCUUGCUGAAGUGAUGGCCACCAAAAAGGCCAAUUUAAACUGUAAGAUCCUGAUCAGAAUAGCUGCCAAAGGCUCCAAGGAGUGAGCUUGCAAUGCCUUGAGGACAGUAUGUAGUUCCCAAGAGGGUAACGUAUGCACUGUUGGAGGUGACAUCAGCGAGGCACCUCAAAGAAACUACGCUGGUGAGGAUGUGACUGAGACAUUUUGUCUUUUCUACUGAGAGCAACUCCAUCAACGGCAAUGCCUGCCGUUGCAGGGUAUUCGGACAUAGUCCCUUCUUGAACCCUUCUUGUAAGAAGAGCAGGAGAUGAUAUAACUUAGCCGUGCCCUUCGGAACGGAGUUGCGAGACAUCCAGCGAAGGAGUGCUCCCAAUGUAUAUUGAUAAAUUCUCUCUGUCGAUGGACUUUACGACGCCAGCAUAGUGCUGAGAACUCCCUCCGAGUAGCCAUGUUGGCUCAGGACUCGGCACUCAGUUUCCAAACGAUGAGCCGAAACCAACAUGGAUCUGGGUGUAAAACUGGACCCUGAUGGAGCAGGUCCGGGGUCUGAGGCAACUCCCAAGGUGGCUCCACCGCCAGAUGGAGGAGCUCUGGAAACCAGGGUCUCCUGGGCCAGAAUGGUGCCACUAAGAGUACUCUUGCUCGAAGACACAUCCAUUGCAGGACUCUGGCCAACAGAGGUGUCAGAGGAUACGUAUAAAGGAAAGCGUCUGGCCAUAGACUGGAUAGGGCAUCCACUGCCAUCGCCUCCCUGCAUGGAAAUCUAGGCAUAAACGCUGGGGAUUGUGCAUUCUUCGGAGUCAUGAAGAGGUCUACCUCGGGCAUGCCCAUCUUCUCUGUUAUCUGGGUUAAAACUGAUGGAUUUAGAGCCCAUUCCCCCAGUUGGAUGUCAGGCCAGCUUAACCAGUCUGCAAACAGGUUCAGCUCUCCCUUGAUGUGGUGUGCCAUCAGGGAAGGAAGGUUGCUCUCUGCCCAAGACAGCAGAAGGACAGCCUCCUGGUGAGAUGACCUGGACCCCCAUUGCUUGUUUACAUAUGCCUUUGCCGUCGUAUUGUCGGUCUUUACAAAUACUUCAGUGCCUUGGAUGAUCUCCUGGAAUGCUAGUAGCGCUAGGCAAAUUGCAUGGAGUUCCCUCCAAUUUAUGUUGUGAGAACGCUCCUCCGUGUUCCAUAGCUGCUGCGCCAACUGGUUGAGGCAGUGGGCUCCCCAGCCCCUGUCAACUUGGGUCUGUUGUUCUGAUGAACAUCUGUGGGUCCAAGAAGGUCUUUUCCCAAUUCAGGUUGUUGGAGUUGAUCCACCAGCGGAGAGAGUGACGCAGGUCUGGUGGCAACUUUAUAAGCAGUCUACACUUCCUUACGAUUGCCUUCUGGUGGGGUAGGAGAAACCACUGGAGGUCGUGCAGAUGAAUUCAAGCCCACGGAACCGAGUCUGGUGCGGCCACCAUCAAGCUCAGCAGUCUUGACAAGGAAGCCAGAGGAACUCUUGGAUUCACUAGGACCAGGUGAACCUCUGUCUGGAUAGUCUGUAACCUGUCUGGUGGAAGCAAGAGGCGGUCCACUAAGGUAACUAUGAUUACCCACAAAUGGCGCAGCCUGUGGCAUGGCGUCAAUUGACUCUUUUCUCCAUUUAUGAUGAAACCAUGGUUCGAGUGUUGCGAUAGUUAAGGACCAAGUCCUGUUCUGCCUCUGGGAGAGAUCUCGCCUGCAGCAACAAUUGACUAUCCCUUUCUGACAGAGUUGCGCCACCAGUGGUGCCAACAACUUUGUGGAGACAUGAGGGGCUGCUGUAUUGAAAAUGCCUUCCAGCAUAUCUAAACCGAAGGUACUGCCUGCUUUCCGGGUGUAUAGGAAGAUGCAGGCAGGCCUCCCUUAUAUCUAUGGACGCGAGCACAUCCAGAUGAAAGAGUGCCUCUGAAACUGCUCUUAGAGUUUCCAUCUGGAAAUGAGUUCUGUGGACCCAUCUGUUCAAAAAAAAUUUAAGUCUAAAACAGCUCUCCUUGAACCGUCCCUUUUUGGGACGGUAAAUAGGAUAGAGGUGUUUUGUUUUGCUGUUUUGGUUUGUUUGUUUUGUUUUAACUCCCUCUCCCUCCUGUGCCAGAGGCACUGGCUCCACUGCCCUGAUGUCCAGGAGGAGUUGGAUUGCCUAGACUAUCGGCAAAUGCUUUGAGAAUGCUUUUGACCUUAGAGUGGGGAUAAAGCAGCAGGGGGAGAGGAGUGAAACUCUAUCCUGUAGCUGUGAUGGAUCAGCUGCAGAACCCAGUUGUCUGAGGUUAAUCUUCCCAGGCUGGGGCGAGGUGAGACAAAUGCCCUCCAAGCCUGAAAUGCUUCAAGUCAUUGUAGUGGCUUUUGCUGCUUUGACUGAGCAGCUUGCUGUUUGUAGGUACCAAACCCUCUAAAGGGUGCUCUCUGAGGAUUCCAAGAUCCCCUCUGGAAUUUUGUAUCUCUGUCCUGGCCCCUGAAGGGCCGGAAGCUAUGAAAGGACCGAUUGUAUUGGAAGGGCCUUUUAAAAGGCUGUUUAUCAGUCUUUUUAUUGGUUGAAGGCAUUGUCUUUCACUUAUCAGACGAUUCUACAAGAAUGUCUUGUAGGGCAGACUCACCAAAAAGCUUCUUGCUGUCGUAAGAGACGGUAGCAAGGUUUAGCCUAGAGGUAGAACCAACCUGUCCAAUUUUGAGCCACAAGUGGCGUCUGCCAACAAAUGAUGAAACCGCCUCUUGCGCUGAGAAUCUAAUCGUAUCAAGAGUGGCAUCGGCUAUAAGGGCCUGCGCCUUCUGGAUCUUGAAUAGUUGCUGUCACAUCUUAACUGGGUCCCCUGGAGGAUCACUCAGAAGAUUGACCACCAAUAAUAAGGAGUCACGGGCUGCCCUGGAUGCUGCCGCUGUUGCACGGACCACCAGGCACACGUUCUCAUGACACGAUUAAAUGACAGCUAGACCUUCUGGUCAGCUAUGUCUUUUAGAGAAAACUCACCCUCUCGAGAUGCCAAGGAAUCCGACACCAAUUGCGAAAUCGGGGCAUCCGCAUUUGGUGUCCUCAACAGAUCUGUAGUGGUUUGCUGAAAAGAAUAAAGUUUGUUAGCCAUGCACACAGCCUUGCAGCUGGAAGCUGGUGUCAACCAUUCCUGUUUGACUACAUCCACAAACAACUCUGGCAUGGGCAUCAGCCUGUCCUUGGGGUGUGCUCUAGGAAAGACCAAGUCCCCUUUGGCACAAGAGUCAAAACUCUGCCCAGCCUCAGUCCCAUUGUUUUAAUAAUUCUGAACAUCAGUGGGCUGAAGUCCUCUGCCACAAAGAGGUGCUGUGACACUGAGGCAUCACCAGUGUCCUCCCCUCCAGACCAUUGGGUCCGGAUCAAAACCUCCUCCUGCAUUAAUUGGGUCUUCAGGGUCAGAAGGCAGAUUAGGCCUCUCUGAGUCUGCAAUGACUUUUUUUUUGGGGGGGGAGGUGCAAGUAAACCCCUAGGACCCCCAGAGUCUGAUCAGAAGCAUCAGAGGAAUGGUCCCGUGCCACCUUGCCAGACAACUUGCCCAGCAAACUAUGCUUAAGCUUGCUUUUGGCCUUCUUGGGAGAAGGACUGACAAACUCGCUAGGUGAGGAGCUCACACUGGGUGAUUUAUGCCUUCUCCCCUUUGUGGAUCUCUCACUCCUCUUAGGGGGCCUAACCUGGUAGAUGGUGCCAAUGAUUGCAUUGCGAAACCAUGCCAGCUACUCAGGUGGCAGCACAGACUUAGGUAAAACAGCAGAGUUAGAACUGGAGGAUUCUUUAGGCCCAGUCUCUGCAGCAGACUCCCCCUGCUGGCCAAACACCAUAGUCACAGUCUUAGGCUUUUCCCGCCCUUUUAGAGACUGUCUCCCUUUUACAUUACCGGCUCCUUCAGGUAAAAUGGAGGGAUUCUUCGCAACCGUCGCCAUCUUAGGAACAGAAGAUGCCUGUGAUGGCCUCGCUGCCCUGCCGGUCAGGUUGCUAGCCAGCUCGCCAAUCCGCCUAAUCUCUUCUGAGGUUGGUGGGGCGUUGGCAAUAGGGAGCCUCCCAAAGCGCUCUUCACAGCCACUUCAAGCUGCCUGCAGCAGCGUGGCGCGCCGGGCCGCAGUAGAGCGAGUCUCGCAGCCCGAAGGCAGGAUACUCGAUGCGGCCCCUUCGACAAUCGGGACGGGCAGCUCGAGAGCGGCCAUCACCGACGCGGUAAAAUUACGCCCUUCCAGGGGGGACUCCGUGGCCCAUAGAUGAGAGACGGCCGAUCACGGACUGUCAACUCACUGCUGGCGAAUUUUUCAGGAGGUUUUCGGGAGGUCGGAAAAGCGGCCUUGCUAUGCAGGGCCUGCAGCAGCCUGCGCCAAUGGGGCCUACAAACGGCCCUGAAGCCUCCCAGGCUGAAAACAUUCAAACUCUUCCCCUUGUUGGAGAAAUUGCUCUGUACCUCUCUGACUGGCUCCAAGCAACGGAGAGGAAAGAGGAGAUGAGGGGGGAGAGAAGUGUGGUGGGGAGAGAAACAGACGAAAGAAGGGUGGUUUUCUUUCUUUUCUUUUCUUUUCUUUUCUUUUCAGAUAAUAGCAAGUAAUAAAGAUCAGGGACAGAAAAAAAAAAGGAUUUGGAGAACAGAAUACUGUAGUUAGAGAAGUAAUAUCAGCAGAAAAUAGAGAGAGCUAGAAAAACGCUGCCAUGGAGCUUGCUGAGGACAGAAAGAACUGGGAGGGGUUAUCCUCCUAGCACCAAGGAGGCGUGGCUGAAAUUUCUACAACCAAUCGAAUCUGUCCUGCCUUGGAGCUAGUGGGAAAGGAUAACCCAGAGGUGUCCCUGGCAACAGUUCAACCGAGAAUGCAAAAUUUCUGGGAUAGCGUGCAAAGAGGGAAGUCAUGCAUUCCUGGAAGCAGGUGUUUUUUUUCACUUGGAGUAGUUCCACAGCAUUCCUUUAUGUAUUUGUUUAUUGCAUUUAUAAACCACUUUUCACCAGGUGACCUCCAAACAGUGUACUGCACAAAAGACAUACUAAAAUAUUCCAAAACACUUAGAGGCAAUUAAAGCAGUAACAAAAUCAGUAGCUGGACAAAUGAAUAAAGUGAUGAAUUGGAUACAAGCAGAA